AUUGAACGCUGGCGGCAGGCCUAACACAUGCAAGUCGAGCGGAUGAAGGGAGCUUGCUCCUGGAUUCAGCGGCGGACGGGUGAGUAAUGCCUAGGAAUCUGCCUGGUAGUGGGGGAUAACGUCCGGACACGGGCGCUAAUACCGCAUACGUCCUGAGGGAGAAAGUGAGGGAUCUUCGGACCUCACGCUAUCAGAUGAGCCUAGGUCGGAUUAGCUAGUUGGUGGGGUAAAGGCCUACCAAGGCGACGAUCCGUAACUGGUCUGAGAGGAUGAUCAGUCACACUUGAACUGAGACACGGUCCAGACUCCUACGGGAGGCAGCAGUGGGGAAUAUUGGAGAAUGGGGGAAAGCCUGAUCCAGCCAUGCCGCGUGUGUGAAGAAGGUCUUCGGAUUGUAAAGCACUUUAAGUUGGGAGGAAGGGCAGUAAGUUAAUACCUUGCUGUUUUGACGUUACCAACAGAAUAAGCACCGGCUAACUUCGUG
rnacentral:rRNA from 1 species